rnacentral:rRNA from 1 species
CUACGGGCGGCAGCAGUCGAGAAGCUUCCGCAAUGGGGGAAACCCUGACGGAGCGACGCCGCGUGAGCGAAGAAGGUCCUAUGGAUUGUAAAGCUCUGUCAGAUUGGGAAGAAAAGUCUACGGUUAAUACCCGUAGGCCUUGACGGUACCAUCAGAGGAAGCACCGGCUAACUCCGUGCCAGCAGCCGCGGUAAUACGGGGGGUGCAAGCGUUGUUCGGAUCCACUGGGUAUAAAGGGUGCGCAGGCGGCCUGAUAAGUCAGGGGUGAAAUAUGACGGCUCAACCGUCAAACUGCCCCUGAAACUGUCAGGCUUGAGUCCGGGAGAGGAAGGUGGAAUUCCUGGUGUAGCGGUGAAAUGCGUAAAUAUCAGGAGGAACACCGGUGGCGAAGGCGGCCUUCUGGCCCGGUACUGACGCUCAGGCACGAAAGCAUGGGGAGCGAACGGGAUUAGAUACCCCAGUAGUC